UGAGGAAUAUUGGUCAAUGGUCGAGAGACUGAACCAGCCAAGUCGCGUGAAGGAUGACUGCCCUAUGGGUUGUAAACUUCUUUUACAAGGGAAUAAAAUGAGAUACGUGUAUUUUAUUGCAUGUACCUUGGGACUAAGCAUCGGCUAACUCCGUGCCAGCAGCCGCGGUAAUACGGAGGAUGCGAGCGUUAUCCGGAUUUAUUGGGUUUAAAGGGUGCGUAGGUGGGCUGUUAAGUCAGCGGUGAAAGUUUGUCGCUUAACGAUAAAAUUGCCGUUGAAACUGGUAGUCUUGAGUAUAGAUGAAGUAGGCGGAAUGCGUGGUGUAGCGGUGAAAUGCAUAGAGAUCACGCAGAACUCCGAUUGCGAAGGCAGCUUACUAAGGUAUAACUGACACUGAAGCACGAAAGCGUGGGUAUCAAACAGG
rnacentral:rRNA from 1 species